GUCGACGGUUAAGCAUCUUCGGAUGUGUAUAAAGUGGCGAACGGCUGAGUAACACGUGGGCAACCUGCCCUUUGCACUGGGAUAGCCUCGGGAAACCGAGGUUAAUACCGGAUACUCCAUAUUUGUCGCAUGGCGAAUAUGGGAAAGCUCCGGCGGCAAAGGAUGGGCCCGCGGCCUGUUAGCUAGUUGGUGGGGUAGUGGCCUACCAAGGCAAUGAUGGGUAGCCGGGUUGAGAGACCGACCGGCCAGAUUGGGACUGAGACACGGCCCAGACUCCUACGGGAGGCAGCAGUGGGGAAUCUUGCACAAUGGGCGAAAGCCUGAUGCAGCGACGCCGCGUGCGGGAUGAAGGCCUUCGGGUUGUAAACCGCUUUCAGCAGGGACGAGGCCGCAAGGUGACGGUACCUGCAGAAGAAGCCCCGGCUAACUACGUGCCAGCAGCCGCGGUAAUACGUAGGGGGCAAGCGUUAUCCGGAUUCAUUGGGCGUAAAGCGCGCGUAGGCGGUCUGUUAGGUCAGGAGUUAAAUCUGGGGGCUCAACCCCUAUCCGCUCCUGAUACCGGCAGGCUUGAGUCUGGUAGGGGAAGAUGGAAUUCCAAGUGUAGCGGUGAAAUGCGCAGAUAUUUGGAAGAACACCGGUGGCGAAGGCGGUCUUCUGGGCCAUGACUGACGCUGAGGCGCGAAAGCUAGGGGAGCGAACAGGAUUAGAUACCCUGGUAGUCCUAGCUGUAAACGAUGGACACUAGGUGUGGGGAGAUUAUACUUUCCGUGCCGCAG
rnacentral:rRNA from 1 species